GUUUUCGGAUCGUCAAGGCAGUACACAUGGGAUAUGAACUCCAACUCAGAAAUUUUCCUAUUGUUUUUUUCUUCGAGCUCCUGUAUGCCAAAGUAGAAUAUAUUUUAAUAUCCAUGAACAUGUGAAUUGCAUUCAAUAUUGAGCAAGAAAAUUCCAUUCAAUAACAGAGGGGGUACUAAACAUUGAAAUCCACAAUAUUGAGCAAGACAAUUCCAUUCAAUAACAAUCCCUUGCGUAAAUUGAGAACGUCAAAUUUCUUACCACCUAAGACCGAUUCUGUUUGUUCGGUUAGUUGACAGAUUUAUAGCUGAUAAAGUAUAAAUCAGUUAAAUAAAAGAAGUUUCUGAAUCAGGGAAGAAAGAAAACUGUUUAACAAAUAAAAUUUAUUUCAGAGCACAACGAAUGCCGGUAGCUUAAGCCUCAUUCGUCUUAUGAAAGAAGGGACAAACGAAAUGGCAAACAAUAUGGGGUGGCAUGUAGAUGUGCGUGAUGUUGCCGAUGCAUUAUUAUUGGCAUAUGAAAAGCCUGAAGCCGAAGGAAGAUACAUAUGCUCAGCUCACUCAUUCUAUAAACAGGAUUUAGGGGAGUUCGUGAAGAAACUUUAUCCGAACUACAAUUAUCCAAAGAGUUUUACUGCUGGAAAUGGAGUCGAUUUCAAGCCCACGAUAGAGAAACUGCAGAAGCUGGGAAUUGCUUCUCUUCAAUGAAUUGAGUGAUUUAUGUUCAAAAUUGAUACCG